GAUGAACGCUAGCGGCAGGCUUAACACAUGCAAGUCGAGGGGUAGAAGUUGCUUGCAACUUUGAGACCGGCGCACGGGUGCGUAACGCGUAUGCAAUCUACCUUAUACAGAGGGAUAGCCCAGAGAAAUUUGGAUUAAUACCUCAUAGUAUAAUUGAAUGGCAUCAUUUAAUUAUUAAAGUUCCAACGGUAUAAGAUGAGCAUGCGUCCUAUUAGCUAGAUGGUAAGGUAACGGCUUACCAUGGCAACGAUAGGUAGGGGUCCUGAGAGGGAGAUCCCCCACACUGGUACUGGGACACGGACCAGACUCCUACGGGAGGCAGCAGUGAGGAAUAUUGGACAAUGGGCGCAAGCCUGAUCCAGCCAUGCCGCGUGCAGGAAGAAGCAUCUAUGGUGUGUAAACUGCUUUUGUACGGGAAGAAACACCCCUUCGUGAAGGGACUUGACGGUACCGUAAGAAUAAGGAUCGGCUAACUCCGUGCCAGCAGCCGCCGUAAUAC
rnacentral:rRNA from 1 species